AGAAUCAACGCUGGCGGCGUGCCUAACACAUGCAAGUCGCACGAGAAAGGGGCUUCGGCUCUGAGUAAAGUGGCGCACGGGUGAGUAACACGUGACUAAUCUACCCUCGAGUGGGGAAUAACCUAGAGAAAUCUGGGCUAAUACCGCAUAACACUUACGAGUCAAAGCAGCAAUGCGCUUGGGGAGGAGGUCGCGGCCGAUUAGCUAGUUGGCGGGUAAUGGCCCACCAAGGCGAUGAUCGGUA
rnacentral:rRNA from 1 species